UCACAUCAAAAAUUUUGUACA
ensembl:piRNA 21ur-8681 ncRNA